rfam:Gossypium hirsutum cultivar TM-1 chromosome 15, whole genome shotgun sequence
AACCCAUGGUGAGGGCACCUUCUCAAAAGGUCCUUGUAUCUCUCCCAUGCAUUGUAGAGUGUUUUAAAUCCAUCUGCACAAAAGAAGAGAUAUCAUUACGUAAUUU